rnacentral:rRNA from 1 species
AUUGAACGCUGGCGGCAGGCCUAACACAUGCAAGUCGAGCGGUAACAGGGGUAGCUUGCUACCCGCUGACGAGCGGCGGACGGGUGAGUAAUGCAUAGGAAUCUGCCCGGUAGUGGGGGAUAACCUGGGGAAACCCAGGCUAAUACCGCAUACGUCCUACGGGAGAAAGGGGGCUUCGGCUCCCGCUAUUGGAUGAGCCUAUGUCGGAUUAGCUAGUUGGUGAGGUAAAGGCUCACCAAGGCAACGAUCCGUAGCUGGUCUGAGAGGAUGAUCAGCCACAUCGGGACUGAGACACGGCCCGAACUCCUACGGGAGGCAGCAGUGGGGAAUAUUGGACAAUGGGCGAAAGCCUGAUCCAGCCAUGCCGCGUGUGUGAAGAAGGCCCUCGGGUUGUAAAGCACUUUCAGCGAGGAAGAACGCCUAGUGGUUAAUACCCAUUAGGAAAGACAUCACUCGCAGAAGAAGCACCGGCUAACUCCGUGCCAGCAGCCGCGGUAAUACGGAGGGUGCAAGCGUUAAUCGGAAUUACUGGGCGUAAAGCGCGCGUAGGUGGCUUGAUAAGCCGGUUGUGAAAGCCCCGGGCUCAACCUGGGAACGGCAUCCGGAACUGUCAAGCUAGAGUGCAGGAGAGGAAGGUAGAAUUCCCGGUGUAGCGGUGAAAUGCGUAGAGAUCGGGAGGAAUACCAGUGGCGAAGGCGGCCUUCUGGACUGACACUGACACUGAGGUGCGAAAGCGUGGGUAGCAAACAGGAUUAGAUACCCUGGUAGUCCACGCCGUAAACGAUGUCGACCAGCCGUUGGGUGCCUAGCGCACUUUGUGGCGAAGUUAACGCGAUAAGUCGACCGCCU